GAUGAACGCUGGCGGCGUGCCUAAUACAUGCAAGUCGAGCGAACAGACGAGGAGCUUGCUCCUCUGACGUUAGCGGCGGACGGGUGAGUAACACGUGGAUAACCUACCUAUAAGACUGGGAUAACUUCGGGAAACCGGAGCUAAUACCGGAUAAUAUAUUGAACCGCAUGGUUCAAUAGUGAAAGACGGUUUUGCUGUCACUUAUAGAUGGAUCCGCGCCGCAUUAGCUAGUUGGUAAGGUAACGGCUUACCAAGGCAACGAUGCGUAGCCGACCUGAGAGGGGGAGCGGCCACCCUGGAACUGGGACCCGGUCCAAACCCCUACGGGAGGCAGCAGUAGGGAAUUUUCCGCAAUGGGCGAAAGCCUGACGGAGCAACGCCGCGUGGGUGAUGAAGGUCUUCGGAUCGUAAAACUCUGUUAUUAGGGAAGAACAAAUGUGUAAGUAACUAUGCACGUCUUGACGGUACCUAAUCAGAAAGCCACGGCUAACUACGU
rnacentral:rRNA from 1 species